AGAAUGAACGUUGGCGGCGUGGAUUAGGCAUGCAAGUCGAACGGGCCGCAAGGCCAGUGGCGGAAGGGUGAGUAAUGCGACGGUAACCAACCCCGCAGUUGGGCAUAGCCGGGGGAAACUCCGGGUAAUUCCCAGCGACGCGUCUCUCCGGCAUCGGAGGGACGCCAAAGGUUUACUGCUGUGGGACGGGCCGUUGUGGUAUUAGCUUGUUGGCGGGGUGACGGCCCACCAAGGCUACGAUGCCUACCGGGCGUGCGAGCGUGGCCCGGCACACUGGGACUGAGACACUGCCCAGACUCCUACGGGAGGCUGCAGUCGAGAAUCUUCGGCAAUGGGCGCAAGCCUGACCGAGCGACGCCGCGUGGAGGACGAAGGCCUUCGGGUUGUAAACUCCUGUCGAGGGGGAGGAAGGGGCAACCUUGACCGAUCCCUGGAGGAAGCACGGGCUAAGUUCGUGCCAGCAGCCGC
rnacentral:rRNA from 1 species